UGCGUGAGGUGCAGAAGAGCCCUUUUGGCAAG
rnacentral:piRNA from 1 species